rnacentral:rRNA from 1 species
GUUGAACGCUGGCGGCAGGCCUAACACAUGCAAGUCGAGCGGAUGAAGGGAGCUUGCGCCUGGAUCCAGCGGCGGACGGGUGAGUAAUGCCUAGGAAUCUGCCUGGUAGUGGGGGAUAACGUCCGGAAACGGGCGCUAAUACCGCAUACGUCCUGAGGGAGAAAGUGGGGGAUCUUCGGACCGCACGCUAUCAGAUGAGCCUAGGUCGGAUUAGAUAGUUGGUGGGGUAAGGGCCUACCAAGGCGACGAUCCGUAACUGGUCUGAGAGGAUGAUCAGUCACACUGGAACGGGGACACGGUCCAGACUACUACGGGAGGCAGCAGUGGGGAAUAUUGGACAAUGGGCGAAAGCCUGAUCCAGCCAUGCCGCGUGUGUGAAGAAGGUCUUCGGAUUGUAAAGCACUUUAAGUUGGGAGGAAGGGCAGUAAGUUAAUACCUUGCUGUUUUGACGUUACCAACAGAAUAAGCACCGGCUAACUUCGUG